AACCCUGCCAACGCGGGGCUAAUACCGGAUAUGGUCACUAGAACGCAUGUUUUAGUGAUUAAAGAUGCAAAUCGCUUGGAGAUGAGCUUGCGUCCCAUUAGCUUGUUGGCGGGGUAACGGCCCACCAAGGCUGCGAUGGGUAGCCGGCCUGAGAGGGUGUACGGCCACAUUGGGACUGAGAUACGGCCCAGACUCCUACGGGAGGCAGCAGUAGGGAAUUUUGCGCAAUGGCCGAAAGCCUGACGCAGCAACGCCGCGUGAAGGAUGAAGGUUCUCGGAUUGUAAACUUCUGUUGAGUGGGAAGAAAAGCCCGUAAGGGUCUGACGGUACCACUUGAGUAAGCACCGGCUAACUACGUGCCAGCAGCCGCGGUAAUACGUAGGGUGCAAGCGUUGUUCGGAAUUACUGGGCGUAAAGGGAGUGUAGGCGGAGCCAUAAGUUAGAAGUUUAAUCUAUCGGCUUAACCGGUAGUCUGCUUUUAAUACUGUGGUUCUUGAGUAUGGGAGAGGGCGAUGGAAUUCCAGGUGUAGCGGUGGAAUGCGUAGAUAUCUGGAAGAACACCAGUAGCGAAGGCGGUCGCCUGGCCCAAUACUGACGCUGAGGCUCGAAAGCUAGGGGAGCAAACAGGAUUAGAUACCCUGGUAGUCCUAGCCGUAAACGAUG
rnacentral:rRNA from 1 species